rnacentral:lncRNA from 1 species
GCCAGGCAUUGCUGGCUUCAGAACUCCACACAUCGUUCUAAACUAGAGAAUUUGCUUCUUACUGUUCCCCUCUUGGUUUGUAUAAUAAAAAUUCCAUAACGUGAAACUGUUCUUUUUUUUUCUUUUUUUCUAGUAGACUUGGAGAAGAAUUAAGGAGCAGCCUUCUUAGUUCCGUGGUGUUGGGAGAGCUUAGGGGAGACAAGACUCGGUUGAAAUGAAAAAUGAUAUAAAAGACUCUAUGAAGACCACUAAUAGGAAGGAAGGACAGAAGCCCUGCAUCAGCUGAGGAUUGAUAUUUGGCAAUAAAUCAACUGAUACAACAUAUAUCA